GAUAACAUGCUUGUGGAAGUUAAACAUUCAUAAUGACAUUGUUUUUUGAUCCUUCAUUGUCAACUCUUCCUAUCAUUAUGAAGCAUAAUUCAUCUAGUGUUGGAUUGUUCACCCACUUCAGAAAAACUUAUUAGAGUGACUAAGGAAAUAUUUGGAAAAGGCGUCCUUAUUGAUUGCAAGAAUCAACCAUAAAACCCCAAAAUAAUUUUGAUGCAAUAAUGGAUAGAGGAAUUUUGGAAUAACUUUGAUUUGGAGCACC
rnacentral:ncRNA from 1 species